UAUUCAUGUUUUGUGUUAUCUACAGAUUUUCUUUUACCAAAGGCUUUCAGAAACUCUCAGGACUGGAAGCAAGACUGCAGGACAGAUGAGUAAACUUUAAAGAUGUCAUUAUUUGGGGUUACAGACUUUAUGCUUAUGUGACUCUACCCUCCACAAUCACCCCUUCCACAAUAUUCUGUUAUGUGUGGGAGUAGAAUGGUUCUGAAUGGCAAUGAAAGUGAUGAUUACACUGUAAUCAGUCCAAGUCAUCUGGUACUGCAGAUGAGCCGAGCACCAAUUUGUCAGUAGCACUGUGGAAUUUCUUGCUUUUAAUGAUCAGCAAUGUUGUGAUUUUGACAAAGGAAGAUUUUUCUAGCUCAUCAGGAGAGAGAGCAGCAAAUUGUUCACAGCUUUACACUUCUAAAAGCUAGUGUUGUGGUUCAGAUCCUGUCCACUCUGAAAGGUGCUCCAGAGACAAUCAUUGGUAGUUAGACAGCCUCCUAUGUGAUAUUGGAUAACUCAUUUCAAUACUGCACCCCAGGUCUCCAGAUGUAAAAGCAGGUUUAUUUUUCCCUCUCCCACACUUAGUUUGUCAUCUAAAGAAAAAGGAAAAGAACUGUUGGAGUAUGUUCAGUACCUAAAAUGGUGGUGCUCAACUUGCAACCUGUGGACAAGAUCUGGCCCAUGGAGUUGUGUCAUCCAGCCUGCAGGAUGCCCCAGGGGUCUGGGAGAGCGGUGACACUGAAUGCUGCCACUUCCCCCCAGCUGCCAAAUUUCCAGGCUCCAGAGGCCAGAUGACAUGGCAGUGUGUGUAGGGCACUAUUGGGACCCUGGGGACAGGGCCACAGAAGUUCAGCAUAUGGGACUAGGGCCACUUGCAAGAUUUGGGGUACAGGGUAAGAACCAUACUCCAUGGGCACCUGAUCAGGACUCAGCCCCAUAGGCAGGAUCAGGACCAUAAACUGGAUGCCACCUGUGGGCGAACCCUGCACUAUGCAUCUGUAUUGUAGGGAUGAAAAGGCAGGGAACCACUGGCCCAGGACACUGAGUCCUCAUGUAGCACUUAAAAGACAGGUGGCAAGCAUUAAAAGUUACUUCUUUCCCCAAAAUGUGGUUUCCUUUUACACCAAAGAAUAGUAGAAGGAUAUCUGCAACAUAACCCUGUGACCCUCUCUACCAUGUCAUGGCACCUCUAGACAGUAGUUUGGAAGUGAACACUGAAAAAACACAACAAAACCCACAUUUAGUUUCCUUCAAAGUCCAUGUAGAGCAGAAGAACUUUGCCAUUAUACCUGUCAAGUCUUAAUCAUGUCAAGUAGCAGAUUACUGAACUCUGAGGGCAAAAAAUUAUGCAUUACUGUUGGCAAAACUGCUCUCAUCAGCCAGAGGGGAAAUAAAGUGCACAGCAUACACAUGAAGAAUCUUGUAUUCCUAUUAUGUGCUGUGAAAGCAAAGAUUUCUGUGGACAAUAUCUUUAAUUGGGCCAGCUCCAUGGUUGAGAUGCAUUGAGAAGCUUGUCUAAAUCUAAGACAUUCUUCAUCUUGACCUCAGAAAGAUAGUUAAGAAAGUGUGAGUUAUUGUAGGUAAUUGGGCAGCACAGAACUCAUCAGGGGCUACAAAACCUGCCUGAGAAGCUGGGUAAAUGCUUGGGUGGAUGUCCUGGGACAGAGCUCCAUGAUAUCCCUAUUGGCUCUCUCUGAGAGAGCAUGGGUCUCCUACACUGCCUCCUGUUAUAAAAAUGAGGAGUUUCCCCAAGAGAUUUAAGAUUCAUGGUAGCAUCCUGGAAGUGGACAGUGUAAGGGCCUUCUAUCUAACAGAGGGCCCAGAAGAUGAAAUGGCUCAACCCAAUCCUGAACCCCAGCAGAAGCUGGUUCAUUUCAUAGGCACUAUGUUAAGAAAAGUCUCUCUGCAUUACAGGUAGGGCACAACCUGGUCUCCAUCCCAAACUCAGCUGCUAUUUUACAGCGGGGAGGCAGAGACCAUCACUGAGAUUUAAAGUUCCAAACUUGCUCAGAUCCAUCAAGAUGAUGUACCUCAGGUUGAACUCAACACUAAAUCAUUGGUUCUCAACCUUUUCUGACUCAAUACACUCCUCAUUAGACUCGAGGCACCCCAGAGUGCCCUGGGACCCUGGUUGAGAAUCACUGCACUAAGCAGACAGCUAGUGAACAGCAUGACCCCUGAUACAAUAUUCUGUCACGGUGCUUUGGGGUGCUUAGCUAGUGGGUCUCUGCACAAGGUAUUCAACUUAAUUUGUUAACUGCCUGGGACCCAAUAUCAAAAACUAAUUUAUAUAUGACAGUCCUUACCUCCUUGCAAGGGUGCUGGGCAGUGGAGUGGAGGCAGGAAGAAACCCGAGUCUGUGCUUGUCUGCUUAGGUAAUCUCCUCACACCUUGCUGGCACCCUUCAAAGGGUCUCUUGGCAGCCCAGGAUUCCCUAGCACUGUGGCUGAGAAUCACUGUGCUAGUGAAAAGCAGGACCCCUGAUACAAUAUGUUGUCAGUGGUUUGCAAUACUUAGCCAGUGGGUCUCUGUAUAACGUAUACAGUUUAAUUUAAGUGGAACAUCAUGGUUGCACCUAAAUAAAAUGCAUCUUAGACAGGAAUUGGGAAAGGUGCAGAGCAUUGUGGCAAGGCCCUGAACCAGCAGAAAGGGGCUCCUUGCCAGCUCUUAGCGGUAAACUUACACUGGUCACCAAUGGGAAUCCAGGAGGAAAAAAAAAAAGAGGAGCAUGCCAUCUUGACAACUGGGAGACAUAUGACUUCAGUUGAGGAGGUGGUUCCAGAUUUCCCCCUUCCUCUGCAGGCAGGUCUUUUACCAAUUUCUGUUUUCCUUGAAUUGAACUGAAUCUACCCUGCUUAUUCCUUCCAGAUUUUGGAACAUCUGUACCUGACAAAAAACAAACAAACAUAGCAAUGGAAAGACCACAGCAUUUAAAAGUCUCCUUGGAUAGAUAUUCAAUGAAAGCAAUGACAAGGCUGACUCCUGUGGGAAUGCUCAAGUUAAGUUAAGACUCCUUGGCAAGGAUGGACAGCUACACUAGCACUUUGAAAGAGGAAAGAACUGAGACAGCUUUAACAUAAGCUCAGCUCCCUUUGCCAGGUGUCAUCGUGGUGCUUGCAGAAUCUUUUGAUCAGUGUCAAAGGCCAUGGCAGAUCAAUAGGAUGAGGGACUGAUCUCUUUUCAUAGCCAAGAGACCAUCAUCUCUAGGAACCUAGACGAACCUUCAAUAUGCAUCAGACACCAACAAGGGGAACAUCAGCUGACCAACAGUCAGUGCCGACACGGUAAAAAGACACCUGGAGGGAGUGGUCAUAUUCAAAUCACCAGGACCAGAGGGACUCCACCCAUGGGUAAUGAAGGAAUUAGCAAGUGUCAUAGCUGAACCAGUGGCAAGGAUACAUCAGCACUCAUGGUGCUUGGGUCAGGUCCCGGAGGAUUGGAAGAACACCAAUGUCACCCCAGUCUUUAUAAAGGGGAGGAAGGAGGAUCCAAGGAACUACAGACCAGUCAGCCUUCCCUCUAUCCCUGGGAAAAUCCUAGAAAAAAUUAUCAAAGAACACAUUUGUGGGAGCCCACCAGCUAAUGUGAUGCGGAAGGGUAACCAACAUGGAUUUAUAGCAGGCAGGUCCUGCCUGACUAACCUAGUUUCUUUUUAUGACAAGGCCACCAAAGGUUUAGAUGCAGGAGUCGAGGUGGGUGUUAUCUAUCUGGACUUCAAGAAGGCCUUUGACACGGUAUCCCAUACCAUCCUUAUAAAUAAACUGAGGAGGUUUGCCUUGGAUGAUUAUACAGUAGACUGGGUAGCAAACUGGCUCAAGGGUCGCACUCAGAGAGUGGUGGAUGGGUCGGUGUCAACCUGGAAAGAUGUGUGCAGUGGAGUCCUUCAGGGCUCAGUUCUGGGGCCGGUGCUGUUCAGCAUCUUCAUCAGUGAUCUGGAUGAGAGGGUGGGAAGCACCCUGUCCAAAUUCGCGGAUGACAAAAAUAUGGGGUGAAGCUAACACCCUGGAGAGGAGGGAGCAGAUCCAGGCUGACCUGGACAGGUUGGGGAAGUGGGCAGAGAGCAACAGGAUGUAAUUCAAUAAGGACAAGUGCAAGGUGCUGCAUCUAGGGAGAAAGAACUGCCAUCAUACCUAUAAAGCUAGGGGGUGACCUUCUCAGCACCACUGAGGCAGAAAGGUCUUAGAAUUACUAUUGACUCCAGGAUGAACACGAGUCGUCUGUGUGAUGAGGCAGAUGUUAGAGCCAAUCGCACCUUGUCGUGCAUCUGUAGGCAAUUCACAAAUAGGUCCAGGGUGGUGAUUCUCUCUCACUGGUCAGGCCGCAGCUGGAGUACUGUGUCCAGUUCUGGAUGCUGCAGUUUAAGUAGGAUGUGGACAACCUGGAGAGGGUCCAAAGAAGGGCUACUCGUCUGAUUAGAGGCCUGCAGGGAAGGCCCUAUGAGGAAAGGCUAAGGGACCUUAACCUCUUCAGCCUGUUCAAGCAAAGGCUGAGAGGGGACCUUGUGGCGACGUACAAGUUCAUAAGGGGAGAGCAACAUGAAGUAGGCGAUGAUCUGUUUACCAGGGCACCCCCUGGAACAAGGAACAAUGGCCAUAAGCUGUUGGAGAGUAGGUUUAGACUGGACGUUAGAAAAAAAGUUCUUACGGUCAAGGUUGCCAGGCUCUGGAAUGGGCUCCCAAGGGAGGUGGUGCUCGCCCCAUCCUUGGGGCUCUUCAAGAGGAGACUGGACAGGCACCUGUCUGGGUUCACAUGACCCCCGGUUUGGUGACCCUUUUCUUGCCUGCCAGGGGUAGGGGGUCAGACUAGGUGGCCCACUGAGGUCCCUUCCAACCGUAGAAUCUAUGAGCUCUGGACUGAUUUGAGAACUGCUCUAAGUUCUUUGCUGCUCAGUGAAUACCUGCAAUACUAGGCAAAGCUCUCCUAGUUUUUCAUGCUUUAAUAGAAUGCAACUAAAUCUUGGCCAUUAUUGGAAGAGAUAAUAGUAAAAAUAACAAAAAACUUAUCAGAAUAUCCUAAAGUCACAGGAUAGACUGAUAGCUUCUGAAAUCAUAGAAACUCUUUGGUUUGUCAUCCCCAACCACAGAACACAUCAGAAAUAACACAAAAUGUAAAGCAAUGUUCAUACAUGUGCAAAAUUGUUAAUGAAGAGCAAGAAAGCAGGUGGCAGAACACAGGUUGGAGUUUUCACAAUCAUGUCAGAGACCAAAACUCAUUUUCCAUUCAGAAUGAUUUUUUUUAGACAGCACUGAGUCUCAGCAGCCUAACUAAGUAGUACAAAAGAUAAGGAUAUCCGUGGCGUAUUCCAGCCUAGUCAACAGCCAUGACUAUUCCAGCCAUGAAGUGGAACGAAGAGAAGACUGAGAACAGGUAAAAGGAAGACUAACAUAAACCAAAAACUGAAGUGGCUGAGGUGCAAGAGUCACUGGAUAUAAAGAAGAAACAUGUAAUCCUAAAUCACUGAGACCCCCACACUCAGCCAACUGUGAUCCAGAAAAGGAAAACAGGUUGAGGUCCCAGCACUUAAGUCUCAUAAUAUAUGAUGAAACAGUAAAGGUCCUUAUAAAAUGUCAGGGUCGCAGGCGUGGUUGUGUCACCCCCUGGUAGCUCCGCAACCAUGCCCACUCCACCCUUAGGGCAGCAUCCUGUUUCACCUGUCACACCUAAAUGGAAGUAAUAAUAGAUAAGGAGGCUGCCCACAGACCUGUGUGUGGCCCCAGUUCCACUGAACCCCUGCUAGGGUCCCCAGCACCCCACUGGUCCACAGGCCCUUCACUGGGCCUUACUUAGUAACUGUGCCAUUGGAUGGCACUGCCAGCUUUAAGGGCUAGUUGCGUGGCUCCAAAUCUUCUUCUAUACCACACCCCAUGCCUUGCAGGUGUUACUGUAACAGUGUCCCCUCUGUUGGGGCUUUGCCUCCUUGGCCUGCACCCCUUUACUUUCACUAAGCCUUCUAGUCUAGCCCAAUGUGUUGGACCUGGCCCUGAGGCACUAGCUUUAAUCUAUCCCCUCUGGUCACUAAGCCCCCUUUUGCCAGAGAGGGGCGCAGCCGCGCCUGGACCCUGUAUGGCUGUGCCCUGCUCGGAUGCCGGGCCCCUGGCCCCUGUGUGGCUGCUGCCUAGCCCUCUCUGCCCUGCCCCUGGCCCAGCUCAAGGUAGUCAUGUGCCCCUUGGGCACUAAUAGAACUUCUAUAACCUCCCCUUACAGUACCAACCCAAACCUCUGGUUUAAACACAAUGUAAACAUAAGCCCCUGGACUACAACAUAACAUAUAGGAAUAGCAGCCCUCUUUCACUUCAAGAGUGUAAACCUGCACUCAGUAAUACAGCAUGCUAGGCUCCUUCUGAGCUCCCUGAGCCCCACUGCUUCUGCAGGCAGUGAAGUGAAGUGAAGUGAAGUGAAGUGAAGUGAAGUGAAGUGAAGUGAAGUGAAGUGAAGUGAAGUGAAGUGAUCAGCCCAGCAUCCCUGAGUGGCACCCCUAGGUAGGCGCUCCUUCCCUUGCAGCUGCCAGGGAGAGACUCCCUUACUAGCCCCAGCCUUGGGCUUAUAUGUUCCCAGGACCCUGUCUACAUCUGGUCAGCUGACUGCCUGCAGGUGUCUGCUAAUUAUCCCAUUGUCCUGGUCCUGGUGACCUGCAGCUGCUGCUUAGCCUGCAGUGCUCCCUGGUUGAGCUGCUAUUAUCCUAAAGUAACAGGGAGUCCCAGGCGCUCUGUUACAGUCCUAAAUAUCCUUCAGAAUGCUGCGGGAUUUGCCAUCAAUCUGUUUGGGAGGGAACAUAGAAAGCAACUCUAACUUGAUAGUUACAGAGCAAUAUAAUGUUAUCUGUGAAGGUGAUUGCAACCUUUUGACUUUAUAUGUUCUCCACUGAAACAGAAAUGCUAGGCAUGUCUCCAUUUCAGAACUCACAAAACUUGACAGAGAGCUUUAGUUUAGAAGAGAAAGAAGUAAUGAAGUGGGAAGAGGGGUGAAAGAGGAGGAUCUUUCAUUUCACACAAGCAAUUCCAUGUAUGUCAUUCCAACACACAAGGCAGAAGGUAAAAUAGUUUAGCAGCUGAAGUUGACUAAGACCCAUAAAGACAGGAUUAAAAGGAAACAUGCAGGAAGACUUGAAAGUGGUAAUAAGUCAGACUGAUAUAGGAGAAUUAGGCUUUUAAUUUAAUUGCAGGAAUUGGUUGGCAAUAUAAUGAUUUCCUACUUUCAAAGUAUUACUACUUCCAGUUCUUCUCACAGUUUGCUUUCUUUGGGAAUUUACCUCCCAAAGAACCCCAGUUAGAGAUUAACAUUUUAAAGAAGACCAAAAGCAGUACAGCUUUCCAUAUUUCUUGAUGGAAACACCCAACCACAACUAUAGCUACCAGGUUAACCUGGUGACACUAGGCAAAUAACUCUAUAGGUUCCUCCUUUCCUAGGCUUCAGGAGUAACAAUUUAUCCCAUCAAACUUCAUCCAGUAGCUGUUUACUAUUAUUAUACUAUACCUUGAUGGUAUAGGGAUGUACUGCUUUUCUCUUCCUUCUUUAGAAGCUUCCAGCCUAGUUCCAUCAAUAAAAAGCAAGUCCAACAACAAAGACCUAACCCUAUAUUUUCCCACUGUAUUCGAAACCUCACCUACCAAUGAGCAAAAAGUGACUCUAUUUAUAGUGGCCAUCCCAUAAUACACUAUCAUAUGAUCUGAAACAACAUCUCCCCAUGGCCACUCCCUGCAAACUACAUCUCCCACAAUUCUUCUUCACUAAUAAAAAGCAAAACAGCAGCAUUUGCUCCCAAAAGGACUAGCACUAUCUGAUAAAAGGUACAAUCUAUAGGUAAGAAAGAAAAAAGGAAAGAAGAGAGGGAGAGUAGUGCAGCAAGUUAACAAUACAAUGUUAACAAGGAGUUACAAUGUGAUAUCUAAGGCCCUAGGAUAAAGUUAUAAGUAACUGAAAUAAAAAACCCUCAAACAAGGGGAAACACCAGACAGCAAUUCCCUUGAAUCCUCAGUGUAAAGGCUAAGAACAGCUGAUGUGGCUUCAUAAGGAGUUACUAGAAGGUUUGAUGCUUAGGAAUACAACCUGCCCUCAAAUGGCAGAGACAUUAAACACUUUUAAGAUCCAGCCUCAAUACAAGACAAUGGAAAAACCACUUGACAAGAGUUGAAUGAAUAAGAAAGGAAGGUGUUGGAAAUCUAACGUGAUAAAGUUCAAGUGAAAGAACCCUAGGAAAAUGGAAAUGUAUAUGAAUCAGCUGGCAUAGAGAAUGAAGGAUAUCAGUUAAUGAACUUUGUGUCCCAAGAGUAAUCAUUCUUGAAAAAGAAUAUGAAAUGAGUGGGUGCCAAGAAAGCAUAAGCAUAGCUCCAGUUUCCAGAGACAGAAGGAUAAUCCCAGCCUAUUAUGUCAGUCUUUCUCUACUAAACUAAUAGAACAGGAAUAAAAGUCACUAAGCAUAUAGAAAAUAAUGGAAAUAAGAAUAAUUGUCAGCCCAGUCUAGAAUUAAUAGGAAGCCUCACAUUAAAUGCCUGAUCCAAAGCUCCUGGAAAUCAAUGGGAACCAUCCUGUUAACUUUCAUGGGCUUUGGAAUAGAUCCUAUAUGGUAGAUUUUCAACCCCAACCCUUUUAAUUUCACCAAAAGGAAAUUGAUCCCUUAGAAAUGACAGAUGUUGUCUGUCAUCCCAGAGAAGAGUUAUUCUGAUCAUUUUGAGGAGAGAGAAAAUCAGCUAUGGUAUAUCAAAACAUUACCUUUUUUCAGUUUUUAAAUAUUUUCUUAAUAUGUCUUUGAUUAAUCUUAUUUCCAAAGUGAUUUUGCCAUCAAACUCCAAGUACAUUUGCUUAGACUUUCUGACAAAAAGUGCUUUGCAGUAUUUCAGGAAGUUAGUUGGGAAGUUAAGUAGAGCUAUAUUUAGAUAUACACAAACAAAUUAUAUGUUUAUAAACAGGUUUAUAUUAUAUAAACAGGUCUGUUUUUAUAUAGGCAAAAAUAUGACAAUUCUGUGUCCACUCCUCCACUAUUUCAGCCAGUUGAACUCAGCAACACACACAUUUCCUGUGGACUUGCUAAUUGGCCAUGGGAGACCCACUGUGGUGGCUCUCAUAUGAGCUGGAUUUCUUCCAGAUGAUCAUUUGCAUUAACCCAAUUCUGAUUUUUAGUACUCAUAAAAAGGGAAAUUAAAAAAAAAGUAACUUACAAGUGACAAAACCAAAGGUGCAUUUCAGUCCAGUCCAACUAACUCCUUCCCACCCCCCCAAUACAAUUUCCUUAAAUAAAAAAAAAGAGAAUCUAUCACUUUAAAAAAUGUUAAAGGUGCAUAAAUGAAUCUGCAAGGGAUCUUGCCAGUUCCCCCACUGUUAUGAUAUUCUUCAUUAUUUGCUGUCUCCACACACAAGUUGCUUUGCUCCCUCAAACUUGACCCCAGUCACUAAAAAAUUGCAAAAAAUAUAUAAAGACCAACACACACAUUACUAGGAGAUGAUAAAAUCAUGCUAUCAUUUUAGGAAUAUAAGACUGGAAGUUGUGGCCUGGGUCAUCAACACCCAUCCCCAUAAUGCUCUAGAACUAGUUUAGUCAAUGUAACCUGAACUAUAAUAUUACUUCUUGCCAGACAAAUGCAAAUGUUAUUUAAUUGCUGCACAAUAUACUUAGAAUUCAGGUGUGACUGAAUACAGACUAGCAAGGUCAAAGAGAUGACAAUUGGUAAAGGUCAAGGAGGUGACAAUUAGUAGCACCAACUGGAUAGGAAGAAAACAUGCAAAGGCUUAUCAGGAAAUAGCUGGCUCCUUUCACUGCUGCAUUUUAUAGUGUCUGCAGCUGCCUAUUUUUAAUGACCCAAACAUGAAAUCAGGACCAAGGGGAAAGAAUAUGAAGAGACAGUUGUAAAAUCAGAAGGGAAAGGACAGAGAAUGAGGAUCUGCUGGGAAAGGAAGUAACAAGAAACCAGGGAGGUGUUAUAUAUUUCAAAAAAUAAUUGCAAAGGAAAGUGUGGUCUGAGAGAACAGACAAUCCAUGCCCAGGAAAGGCCUGAAGUGAUUAUUAGUUGCUUUGGCUCAGUCUUCACUAAGAAGCAUAAGGAUAAGAGGAACUUAACCAAUAAGAGUUAAGUUAAAGACCCAGGAAGGAACAGUAUAAAAAUGAAGAUAUUUAAAUCUAAUAUAAUUCACCUCAGAGUUGUGAAGAAGAAGAGAAGUGUCUGAACUAUCAACUUUUCUGAGAACACAGCGAGGACAGGUGAAAUAUCAGGGGACUGAAGAGGCAACCAAAUAGAACGCCUAUUUUUAGGCAGAGGAAGUCACUGGGGACUACUGACCAAUAAUAUUAACUUCAGUAACUGGGAAAUGUCUACACUAAAUACUCAGUAGUGAGCAGUCCAUCUCUGCAUAUUUCAGAAGAAAACAGAGUGAUAAACAUUAGUCAGCAUAGGCAAAUCCAUAGCAAAUCAUUCCAAACACACCUAUAAGGCAAAAUUCUCAGCAAGUGUAAAUCAGCAUGAUCCACUGGUGUAUUUGAACUGGUGGUCUGGCCCAGUGUCUUUUUUUUUUUGGUCUGACAGCAGGUAGAACACAUUGGGAAUUUUCUGAUGAAAUGUUUUUUGUUGAAAAAUGCCAAUUCAUUGAAACCAAAAUUCUUUUGCAGGAAAGGGGCAAUUUUGAAGAGUUUCCUUUCAAAGUAUAUUUAAAUUAAAGCUUUGAAAUUGUUGUAAUUUUGAUGUUUUUAAAAAAUAACAGUAAACUCUAUUUCUUGGUUUGAAAUAACUUCUCUUUUAGAAAUGUCUAGUUAAUUUACAGUUAAAAUGCAAGAAAAGAAUAAUAAAAAAAAAAGGAAUUGAAAGCAAAAUUAAGCAUUGCAGAAUUAUCAGAACAAGA